ACCACAGGUUGCUGUUUGAAGGGUUACCCCUGUUGCUGUUGCUUUGGCAGUAAAGAUGGUCUUUGCCGAUCCUCAUGUUGUUCGUGGUAAUAGCUGAUGAACUGAUCUAGCCGCCUGCAUCAAAUGAACUCCUCAAUCUCAUCUUGGAGUUGGAUGCAGUCCUCUGUGUUGUGGCUGUGGUCGCGAUGGUAAAGAUAAUACUUAUUUGAAUCGUGCUGAUCUGACCUCGUCUGCAUCCUUUUUGCCUUGGGGAUCUGCUCCCUGAUCUCCAUCAAUAUUUGAGUUCUGAAGGUAUUCAGUGGUAUAUAGUUGGUG
rnacentral:lncRNA from 1 species